GAUGAACGCUGGCGGCGUGCCUAAUACAUGCAAGUCGAGCGAACAGACGAGGAGCUUGCUCCUCUGACGUUAGCGGCGGACGGGUGAGUAACACGUGGAUAACCUACCUAUAAGACUGGGAUAACUUCGGGAAACCGGAGCUAAUACCGGAUAAUAUAUUGAACCGCAUGGUUCAAUAGUGAAAGACGGUUUUGCUGUCACUUAUAGAUGGAUCCGCGCCGCAUUAGCUAGUUGGUAAGGGAACGGCUUACCAAGGCAACGAUGCGUAGCCGACCUGAGAGGGUGGUCGGCCACACUGGAACUGAGACACGGCCCAGACUCCGACGGGAGGCAGCAGUAGGGAAUCUUCCGCAAUGGGCGAAAGCCUGACGGAGCAACGCCGCGUGAGUGAUGAAGGUCUUCGGAUCGUAAAACUCUGUUAUUAGGGAAGAACAAAUGUGUAAGUAACUAUGCACGUCUUGACGGUACCUAAUCAGAAAGCCACGGCUAACUACGUG
rnacentral:rRNA from 1 species